rnacentral:rRNA from 1 species
AAAAGCUCGUAGUUGGAUCUCAGUUCCAGACCGACGGUCCGCCUACCGGCGGUCACUGUCGGUGCCGAACACGCGGUCGGUUUCCCCCGAUGAUCUUCACCGGUUGUCUCGGGUGACCGACAAGUUUACUUUGAAAAAAUUAGAGUGCUCAAGGCAGGCGCGACGCCUGGAUAAUGGUGCAUGGAAUAAUGGAAUAGGACCUCGGUUCUAUUUUGUUGGUUUUCGGAGACGAGGUAAUGAUUAAGAGGGACAGACGGGGGCAUUCGUACUGCGCGGUUAGAGGUGAAAUUCUUGGAUCCGCGCAAGACGAACUACUGCGAAAGCAUUUGCCAAGAAUGUUUCCAUUAAUCAAGAACGAAAGUCAGAGGUUCGAAGACGAUCAGAUACCGUCCUAGUUUUGACCAUAAACGAUGCCAGCCAGCGAUCCGGCUGCGUUCCUCAAAUGACGCGCCGGGCAGCUUCCGGGAAACCAAAGCCUUUGGGUUCCGGGGGAAGUAUGGUUGCAAAGCUGAAACUUAAAGGAAUUGACGGAAGCGCACACCAGAAAUGGAGCCUGCGGCUUAAUUUGACUCAACACGCGAAAUCUCACUCGGUCCGGACACAGGAAGGAUUGACAGAUUGAGAGCUCUUUCUUGAUUCUGUGGAUGGUGGUGCAUGGCCGCUCUUAGUUGGUGGAGCGAUUUGUCUGGUUAAUUCCGAUAACGGACGACUCUCUAGCCUACUAAAUAGGCGUUCCGAUCCUCUGCGUCGGACGCUCUUCUUAGAGGGACAAGCGGCGUUCAGCCGCACGAGACAGAGCAAUAGCAGGUCUGUGAUGCCCUCAGAUGUCCGAGGCCGCACGCGCGCUACAUUGAAGGAGCCAGCGUGUGCUCCCUGCCCGACAGGGCCGGGUAACCCGUUGAGCCUCCUUCGUGCUGGGGACAGGGGCUUGUAAUUCUUCCCCUCGAACGAGGAAUUCCCAGUAAGCACGAGUCAUUAGCUCGUGCUGAUUAAGUCCCUGCGCUUUGUACACACCGCCCGUCGCUACUACUGAUUGAAUGAUUUAGUGAGGUCGUCGGACUGGCGCUCGGAGCGGCCUUCCGGUCGCGCCGACGUGCCGGAAAGACAACCGAACUUGAUCAUUUAGAAGAAGUAAAAGUCGUAACAAGGUUUUC